rnacentral:rRNA from 1 species
CCUACGGGUGGCAGCAGUGAGGAAUAUUGGUCAAUGGGCGAGAGCCUGAACCAGCCAAGUCGCGUGAAGGAUGACGGCCCUACGGGUUGUAAACUUCUUUUGUCAGGGAGCAAUUGAGUCCACGUGUGGGCUUAGCUAGAUUACCUGAAGAAAAGGCAUCGUCUAACUCCGUGCCAGCAGCCGCGGUAAUACGGAGGAUGCGAGCGUUAUCCGGAUUUAUUGGGUUUAAAGGGUGCGUAGGUGGUUUUUUAAGUCAGCGGUGAAAGUUUGUGGCUCAACCAUAAAAUGGCCGUUGAAACUGGAAGACUUGAGUGUGUUAGAGGUAGGCGGAAUGCGUGGUGUAGCGGUGAAAUGCAUAGAUAUCACGCAGAACUCCGAUUGCGAAGGCAGCUUACUAAGCCAUAACUGACACUGAAGCACGAAAGCGUGGGUAUCAAACAGGAUUAGAUACCCUUGUAGUC